GUGUCAGCCGCCGCGGUAAUACAGAGGUGCCAAGCGUUAGGCGGAAUCACUGGGCUUAAAGCGCGUGUAGGCGGGUCGUUAAGUGUCUUGUGAAAUCCCACGGCUCAACCGUGGAACUGCUGGGCAUACUGACGAUCUUGAGGCACUCAGGGGCUGUCGGAACAAAUGGUGGAGCGGUGAAAUGCGUAGAUAUCAUUUGGAACGCCAACGGUGAAAACAGACAGCUGGGGGUGUCCUGACGCUGAGACGCGAAAGCCAGGGGAGCGAACGGGAUUAGAUACCCCGGUAGUCC
rnacentral:rRNA from 1 species